GGUUCCGUAGCUCAGCUGGAUAGAGCAACAGCCUUCUAAGCUGUGGGCCGAGAGUUCGAAUCUCUCCGGAAUCA
rnacentral:tRNA from 1 species